rnacentral:rRNA from 1 species
AACGUAGGUGGCAAGCGUUAUCCGGAUUUACUGGGCGUAAAGGGUGUGCAGGCGGGGGUGCAAGUGGGGUAUGAAAUCUCCCGGCUUAACCGGGAGGGGUUAUGCCAGACUGCAAUUCUAGAGGACGAGAGAGGGGGGUGGAAUUCCGGGUGUAGUGGUGAAAUGCGUAGAGAUCCGGAGGAACCCCAGAGGCGAAGGCAGCCCCCUGGGCUAACACUGACGCUCAGGCACGAAAGCGUGGGGAGCAAACGGG